GCUGACGCGGAGGGACAUUACCGAGUUUACAACACCCAAACCCAAUGUGAACGUUACCAAACUGUUGCCUCGGCGGGGUCACGCCCCGGGUGCGUCGCAGCCCCGGAACCAGGCGCCCGCCGGAGGAACCAACCAAACUCUUUCUGUAGUCCCCUCGCGGACGUAUUUCUUACAGCUCUGAGCAAAAAUUCAAAAUGAAUCAAAACUUUCAACAACGGAUCUCUUGGUUCUGGCAUCGAUGAAGAACGCAGCGAAAUGCGAUAAGUAAUGUGAAUUGCAGAAUUCAGUGAAUCAUCGAAUCUUUGAACGCACAUUGCGCCCGCCAGUAUUCUGGCGGGCAUGCCUGUCCGAGCGUCAUUUCAACCCUCGAACCCCUCCGGGGGAUCGGCGUUGGGGAUCGGGACCCCUCACACGGGUGCCGGCCCCGAAAUACAGUGGCGGUCUCGCCGCAGCCUCUCCUGCGCAGUAGUUUGCACAACUCGCACCGGGAGCGCGGCGCGUCCACGUCCGUAAAACACCCAACUUUCUGAAAUGUUGACCUCGGAUCAGGUAGGAAUACCCGCUGAACUUAAGCAUAUCAAUAAAGCGGAGGAAAAAU
rnacentral:rRNA from 1 species